rnacentral:rRNA from 1 species
UCAUGAAAGCCGGUUGUACCCGAAGUCCGCAAGCAAACUCGCAAGAGGCGCAGCGGCCGAAGGUAUGGCUGGUGAUUGGGAUG